UACGUAGGGGGCUAGCGUUGUCCGGAAUCAUUGGGCGUAAAGAGCGUGUAGGCGGCUCGGUAAGUCCGCUGUGAAAGUCCAGGGCUCAACCCUGGAAUGCCAGUGGAAACUGUCGAGCUAGAGUCCGGAAGAGUCGAGUGGAAUUCCUGGUGUAGCGGUGAAAUGCGCAGAUAUCAGGAGGAACACCAAUGGCGAAGGCAGCUCGCUGGGACGGUACUGACGCUGAGACGCGAAAGCGUGGGGAGCAAACAGG
rnacentral:rRNA from 1 species